GUAAGUAUUUCCCUCGAAGUGACUACUGUCGUGGCCGGUCGCGAUCUUUCUCGCCGCACUGUUCGCGGAAUCGGGUCCCCAACGGCGCGUGGCGUCUGGGUUCGAGCGUAACUCGCCGCCGUCCUUCCCCUGUGCGAAGAGGACCCCGUGCGGUAAGCGCUCGCACUCGCAUAGAAAACGGCGCCGUGUGUAUGUGUGCGUGGCCCCUCGUCCAGCGAUUACCGUGCGUUUGAUUCGUACGUUUGACUCGUGGCUCGGAUACCGCGAUCGUACGUCGCGUCGUUCCGCAUCGACCGUUCCGUCUUACGCUUUGAACGUCUCGCGUCUCGUGAAUCUCGCGUCGAGUGAAGUUGUCGCUCUCCCUCCACCUAACCAUCAUUUUGGCAUUAGUGAGGCAGGGACGUUACGAAGCGGAUUGAUCGUCGAGCUGCGACGCGUUUAAUCACGGUAAAUACAGCCUGCUGGUAAAUUCAGCCCGUAGGGGUCUGACGAUACCUGUCGUUUACGUAGCGUGAGUUCACGCGUGGACGACGAUUCGUUAGGAAUUCGAUGUGUUCGUUCGAUCGAGAUUCGUCGCGUUGGCGCCAGCGCCAUUGGCGGUCUGCAAGGUAACAAUUAUAUGUCGCGUCGCUUCGCGAGACGUGAUUGUAGUACUUGUAUCCUAGCCUUUUUCUCUCUCUCUCUCUCUCUCUCUCACUCUCUCCCUCCCUCUCUCUCUUCCCCAUACGUUGAUUAGGAUUGCGGCGUAAUUAAUAGAGCGCGCGUCUCGUUCGAUUAACACCGGGAGUGCCGUUCAUAGUAACGCGUGAUCAUCGAUUUCGGUAACUUGUACGCGAUCGUAAUUAACGUUCUCGCGAGUGAGCUGUGCGUGUGUGUGCGUGUUGGCUGAGAGGACGACGAGGCCCGGGGAGACAUCGGGCGACGGUGGAGCAACCUCGAGAUUAACGUACACAACGUAGUUACAAUUCCACUGUUGCGCGUCACGUGUUGGUGAGUAACGAAUUAUCUUUUAUUUUAAUUUGAGGUAAUGGAUCUAUGAAAAAAAUAUUACGGAUAAAUGCGAAACUUCACAGAUCCAUUGCCUUGAAAUGGAUAGGCUAGAGGAUAAAGUUAAUAUAUUAAUAUAUUUAAUUUUGGAAUAUCUGUUGAUUUAUCACACAGGUGAGAUUAUACUAGCUUUACAGAACAGAACAAUUGUUUGUUAUUUUUGGCAGAAUAUUAAUUACAAAUUGAUUGCCUCUGUCCUAUUAUGUUAAUUGUCCUCUCCCAAAAAGAAAAGGUUGUAGGUAUAAAUAAAAAGAUGAAGUAUCGCAAAUAUUUUUACAAAUAAAAAUUAAAAAAAAAAUUAAAAGUUUGGUGAAAAGUACUUAAUUAUUUAUAAAAGUGAGUGUUUUGGUAUUUUUAGUUUUUUUGCAGAAUUAAUUAUCAGUACAAGAUCAAUGAUGUUCAAAGAUUUUUUUCAUUGCCUAUUAAACAUAAAAUGAAAUAAAACAAAAACAAGAAAUAUUUCAAUGAUUAGUCAUAGUGCAAUCCAAGUAAUUUAUUUAACAAAGAACGUAAUAAUUUGUAAUCAUAUUUGUUCUUUCAUAUUGCGCCGAUUUCUAUUGCAAUCUUUCAUAUCCACGUUUAUCGAUAGCUUCAACGCUUCCCUUGAAACAAAUUAAAAUGAAACAGAGUUCGAUGAAUAUUUCAACGCGAAAGAACAAAUCGGUACGCGUGUAAGCACGAUUACCUGAACGCGUGGUAUCAUCGGCUUAUAACACCCGGAAGUUCCUGACGUUUCCCGCGUAUAUCCGUCUCUAAUUAAUUCCAAGAGUUACCCUAUUAGAAUAUCGUACAGUGAUUAUUGGACACCCCGUGGAUUUCAAGCCGCAUAGCAGCCGGGCUUGUUUUGUCCUGGCAGACCGAGGGAUACCGGUGAUUUAUUAGCACAGGCAAGCAAAUCCUUGUCGCAUGCAAAUAGAAUAAACGAAUAGAAAAAAGAAACGCGCAAAUGAUGCAGCCGCGAGCGUGUUAUGGGGCGAUAAAAGAUUACUGGCAGCAGAGAGAGAAAGAAGGGGAGAGAGAGAGAGAGGGAUAGUAGUGCGGGAUGAGUCUGCGCGUAAAAAACAAAAUUAAAAACCACGACGAAAUGUGCAGAAAUUGGAGAUGAAAUCAAUUCGCGCGGUAGCUCCGCCAUGCGGAAAUAUACCAUGUGCAUUAAUUUCAUUUAUCGAAUUUCGGUACAAAGCAAGCCCUAUAGGAAAAAAGAAUAGCAAAUUGAAGAGCUUUUAUACGUCAGACUUAUAUGUCCUAUACAGUUUCAGUGUCCCUCUUUUCGCCGUUAUCGAAAAUACCUGCCGUAAUUUCAUAUUGUUAAAUUCUAUUUUAAAGUAAAAAAAAAAAAAAUUACCACGUCGACGAACGAGAAAACUCGCGUGCGUGGCUUUCAAUUUUCGGAAGGUUUUUUGGAGACGUGUUUAUGCGGGGCUUCUUGGAAAUCGCCUCGGCUUCCUGGAAGUCGCGGUUAGACUUUUUUUUCUUCCUAGAACUGCCGAUUCCCGAGGUGACCAAUCAGCUGCUCGUCUCUCCCAUAACUUUACCCCCUCCAACGCAUACGACUCAGUUCCGCCGCGAGGACACGAGUGGUAAGAUCGUCGUGCUGUUUACGCUCCGCGAUCGCGCGUUUUUCCGUCUUGUACGAGCGUCAAAUCGAGCAACAGGCGAUCGCUUCAGUCGCAAUCUUUCGUGCCACGUUUUUGAGAGAUAACUUUCGGGAAACGUCGUAUGUGAUGAACAUCUCGAUUUGAUAUCUCGAAUAUGUCGCGUUUUCGUUCGCAGUGCUCGCGACUCGCCUGAAACUUUUCCCUGUUUUUUGUUUCGUCGACGUCGAAAUUUAUUAAGAUAUUAAAGAGUGUGUGUCGCAAUUGGCCUCUCUUCGAAAAAAUUGUUUAUUCGCACCAAGUUGGCCGACGUUUCCCCCUUUCUCUCCUCUAAAUUUCGAUAUGUAUUUUCGAUUCGGGAGACGAUGUCGAACGCGCCUCAUCAGUCAUGUUACUUAUUUCGUGACCGGAUGUCUUUUCCUCCUACUGUCGAAAGUGAAUAUCGCGAACAAUGGUGAUUGACCUUGAUGCGUUCGUUACUACGUGCAAGGUGUGAAAAAUGGAGGAACGUCAUGCGCGUGAAAUACGCGGAGGUUAUUUAAUGUCGUGAAGUGCGUAGACAUUCGCGUCGCAUUUCACCUCGCUCGUCCGAAGGUGGUUUCGCAUGCUUCGUUUCGUCGAUACGAAAAUCAAUCGAGCCUCACUUGCGUCGCGAUCAGUCUCUUUCGAGUAGUGUAUUCGCAUAGAGGUGAUCUUCGCGUGCAGUUUUUCUUUCCAAAUUUUCAGUCAGGUCAGUAUGUUAGUCCCGUCGGGAGAUACGGGCGCGUCGAUCUCAGUGCCGUGAAGUGCGUCGCUUGUCUGAAGAUAAUUCUUCGUUUCGUCGAUAAAAAUUUUGAUUGAGAUCUCAAAGGUGGAGCUCCACUCGUGUGACGGUGUCUCCCUACUUGAAGGAAAGUGUACCCGCAAGAUGGCUCUCGCAAGCCCUUCCGAUUGCUUCCGAUUAUUUCCAAAUUUUCGGCAAGUACUUCAUUUCCCUCGGACGUCGAGCGUGCAAAGUCGUAUUAUUUAUUUCGUAAUCGCGUAUCUUUUUCUUCGUCGAAAGUUGAUAUUACGAACGGGUGAUCGCUCCGCGUGUUUUUCGGUCUGUGCAAUUCCUGGAAAAUUCGUAAAUGUCCCGUCGCGAUAACCUAACCUAACCUAACCUAACCUGAUUGUCCGGUCGGUCGCGCGGUCGUACGGCGUUAAGUUGCGUGAGUAACAGUGAUAGCAGGAGCAAAAUUAAGGAUACGUGCCAUAGCAGGAGAAAGGAAAAGCCGGAAGCAGAAACAGGACUAUGGUAACAGCACAUCGACCGGUGAGUGAGUUACUUGUUGCAUUGUUAUCAUUUAUCGCUUGGAAUCUUCAAUAUUAUUUUUUAUCCCCCGAAAAUCGUGGGAUUUUGUUGAUAUAUAUAUAUUCGGGGAAACUUGGGAGGAACUCCACUUUCCAAUUAAAAUUCUCGGACAAGCUUAAUUGUUUCCUCGAGCAUUUCUUUUAUCUAAUUGCUUUGCGUGAUCGAUUAGCAAUAAAAAUUCUCUCGUACAGUCCCUUGUGACUCGCGAGUUUUUAUAAAAAAAAAAUAUUGCUAACGAAUGGAAGACACCUUUCGAGCUCUGUUCCCGUAAACUAGAGCCGUGUCGCGGACAGACCGUAUUCAAACCGCGUGCGUUGUAGCGUUUACGUAAAUGUGUCGUCCGUGUACUUUUCGCCGCGGGCUCGGCGCGCGACGCGUUACGUUUUGAUAAACUCGCGGUGGCGGCGGCGAAUGGAGCACCCAAGAAAUCCGCCGAUAAUCCGAUAUAAUGACGAUGACGAAAGUAAGGGCGACGAUAAAAGGUAAACGAUGGUCUCGUCACAUCUUUCAGCCGGAUAGCGUGGCGAGUCCUUUUUCCACGGCACGGCGGCGUCACCAUUCCUCCCCUCUCACCUCCCUUUCUCGCUCUCUCUCUCUCUCUCUCUCUUUCUCUCGCCUCCCUCGUUCUCUGUCACCACGCCGUACGUCGGUCGCUCAAUUCCCGACGAAAUGGAAUAUCGAUACGCGGAACAUCCCGAGGGAAGUGUAGCGAAUAUUGAAAAAUUCUUGCCUGAAAGAAAAAAAAGCGGGAGCGAGAAGGGAGAGAAACGAGGGACAGAGAGAUAGAAAGAUAGAGAGGAAGAGAGAGAGAGAGAGAGAGAGAGAGAGAGAGAGAGAGAGAGAGAGAGAGAGAGAGAGAGAGAGAGAGAGAGACGCGUCACAGAGUCGUUUGCAUUUUUGGAAAAUAUAAUCGACCGGCUUGAAUUGAUCGGUGCCGAGACAAUUGGCCGGCGCUCGUCGCCGUUGGUUUGCUUUCGCUCGAAUUCACCGUUUGCGGACGCGCCGUGGAAAAAUCGCUGAUCGGCGACGCGACGCGACCUGGAAUUUAUUCUCACAACAAUGUGCGUGUUAUUGCAAUCCGCGAUUUGAAAUGUAUGCAUCCCCGCCGUCGGCUUCGUCGACUCCGAUAAUAGAAACGUUUCGCUUAGGACGAACCGAUUGCAUCGCUAUUCCGAUUCCUCGUCAUUGUCGUACAGAGUCUGGUCAAUAAUAAUAAUGACAGUUAUAUUUUGAUUGCAAGUUUGAUUAAAGAAAUAUAUAUAUUUGUCGCCGAAGUAAUUUUAAACUCGAUAACAGCUAUCACUAAUAUUUGCUCAUCGGUGUAUCAACGUUAAACUCUAUUGUCAAAAAAAAAAAA